UUUAAAAAUAUAAUAUAGUUUAAAUGUUAGUGUUUGUGAUUUACCUUUGAUCUGUAAUAUGAGAAACGAUAAGAAAGACUGCAAGUUGUCAGUUCAUGUCCUAAUAUAGAACCUCUCAAUAAACUAAAUAAUGUAUUACUGA